rnacentral:rRNA from 1 species
UUAUUUUUAUUUUUUAUUAAUAAUUUUUUAAAAAAAAUAUUUUUUAAUUUAAUUAUAAAUUUAGAAAAAAUACUUUAAAUGAUAGUUUAUUUGUAUAGUGAUAGAAUAUUGAAAUAUUUGAAAUAAUAAAAUAUUUAAAAGAAAAAUUUAUUUUUUGUACCUUGUGUAUCAGGGUUUAUUAAAUAAUAAUUAUAUAUUUUAAUUUUCUCGAAUUUGAAAGAGUUAAAAAAUUAUAAAUUUUAUUGUAAAAUAAAUAUUUAAAAUAAUUUUUUAGUAAUGAAACGUUAUUCGUUUUUGAAUUUAUCUAGUUUUUUAAGAAAUAAAUUUAAUUUAGUUUAUUAAUUUAAUUUAAUAUUCUUUGAUAUUUAAGUUAAUUGAUAAUUUAAUAUUUUAAGGGAUAAGCUUUAAAAUAAAAUUUUAUAAAUAAUGGGUGGAUUAUGUAAAAAAAUAAGUAGGAUUGGAAGUUUUUUUCAUUUUAAUGUGUUAUAACAGUUUUUUUUUAUAUUUAAUUUAUAUAUAAUUUUAAGUUUUUUAUUAAAAUAAUUAAUUUAAUUUAGAAAUUUAUGAAAUAAUGAUAAAAUUAGUAUAAUUUAAUGUAUUUUUAAUUUAAAAAUCAAGGUUAGAUUAAGGAACUCGGCAAAUUAUUUUUUCGCCUGUUUACUAAAAACAUGUCUUUUUGAUUAUAAUUUAAAGUCUGACCUGCCCUAUGAAUUUAAAAGUUUAAAUGGCUGCGGUAUUUUGACCGUGCAAAGGUAGCAUAAUAAUUAGUUUCUUAAUUGGGAACUGGAAUGAAAGGUUGAACGAAAAAAAGACUGUCUCAAUUUAAUUUAAAUUAGAAUUUUAUUUUUAAGUUAAAAAGCUUAAAUGUUUUUAAAAGACGAGAAGACCCUAUAGAGUUUAAUAAACAUUUAAUUAUUUAAAAAUUUAAGAAUUUAAAAUUUAAUUAAUUAAAUUUUUAUUUGGUUGGGGUGAUUAAAAAAUUAAAUAAACUUUUUUUUAAAAUUAAACCAUUAAUGUAUGAUUGAAUGAUCCAUUUAUAAUGAUUAUAAGAUUAAAUUACCUUAGGGAUAACAGCGUAAUUUUUUUUAAGAGUUCUUAUCGAAAAAAAAGUUUGCGACCUCGAUGUUGGAUUAAAAUGAACUUUUGGUGUAGAGGCUGAGAGAGUUAGGUCUGUUCGACCUUUAAAAUUUUACAUGAUCUGAGUUUAGACCGGCGUGAGCCAGGUUGGUUUCUAUCUUUAAAAUAUUAAAAUAUUUUAGUACGAAAGGAUCAAAUAUUUAUAAUAAUUAUUAAAUAAAGAAUAUUAUU